rnacentral:rRNA from 1 species
CCAGCACCCCGAGUGGUCGGGACGAUUAUUGGGCCUAAAGCAUCCGUAGCCGGUUUUACAAGUCCUCCGUUAAAUCCAGCUGCUUAACGGAUGGGCUGCGGAGGAUACUAUAAGACUAGGAGGCAGGAGAGGCAAGCGGUACUCAGUGGGUAGGGUAAAAUCCGUUGAUCCAUUGAAGACCACCAGUGGCGAAGGCGGCUUGCCAGAAUGCGCUCGACGGUGAGGGAUGAAAGCUGGGGGAGCAAACCGGAUUAGAUACCCGGGUAGUCCCAGCUGUAAACGAUGCAGACUCGGUGAUGGACUAGCUUUAUGCUAGUCCAGUGCCGCAGGGAAGCCGUUAAAGUCUGCCGCCUGGGUAUACGGUCGCAAGACUG